AUCCAGCUGACGAGUCCCAAGUAGGACGAAACGUUCGUCCUGGAU
rnacentral:hammerhead_ribozyme from 1 species